AUUGAACGCUGGCGGCAGGCCUAACACAUGCAAGUCGAACGGUAACAGGAAGCAGCUUGCUGCUUCGCUGACGAGUGGCGGACGGGUGAGUAAUGUCUGGGAAACUGCCUGAUGGAGGGGGAUAACUACUGGAAACGGUAGCUAAUACCGCAUAACGUCGCAAGACCAAAGAGGGGGACCUUCGGGCCUCUUGCCAUCGGAUGUGCCCAGAUGGGAUUAGCUAGUAGGUGGGGUAACGGCUCACCUAGGCGACGAUCCCUAGCUGGUCUGAGAGGAUGACCAGCCACACUGGAACUGAGACACGGUCCAGACUCCUACGGGAGGCAGCAGUGGGGAAUAUUGCACAAUGGGCGCAAGCCUGAUGCAGCCAUGCCGCGUGUAUGAAGAAGGCCUUCGGUUGUAAAGUACUUUACUGCGGGGAGGAAGGGAGUAAGUUAAUACCUUGUC
rnacentral:rRNA from 1 species